GGUAGGUGGAGACAAGGAAAAUGUCCAGGAAGAAGUGACAUUUAAACGGUGGGGAAGGAUGAGUAAAACAUAUAAUAUGAACUGAAGCAGAAGACAGUUUUAGACCAAAGGAAUGUCCUGUGGAAGGCCUGGACAUACUCAAGGAACUGAAGAAGUUGAAGUUGAGGGAGUGGUGAGAAAUGUGGGCAAAUAUUGUGAGAUACUCUUGGAAGAGUAAGCAACAUGAAGAAUCUGGAUUCUAAUAUAUGGGAGGGACGAGGUCUUGCUCUGUCACCCAGGCUGGAGUGCAGUGGCAUAAGCACAGCUCCCUGUAACCUCGAACUCCUAACCUCAGGUGAUCCUCCUGCCUUGGCCUCGCAAGGUGCUGUGAUUACAGACGUGAGCAGCCACACAGGACUGGGAGAUAUAUUCAUAGUCUUCUACGGGCAAGACUUACCAGUAUGUUCUAUGUUACCUCAAGGAGUGAGUCUCAAAAGAAGUGUUCCUAGCAUCUAAUAGAAUCUUAAUUAAUUUUCCUCUCACCAAUAUCCUCUCUAAUCAGCAAACACCAAAAUAGUUCUUCACACUUUUGCUCAAGAACAUUCCAUGUCUUUCUACUGCUGACAGUGGAACAGAGACAGUUUGGAGUUUAGUCAUGGAGUGCCCUGAGGUCAUGUUAAUUAGUCUUCCUACAAUAAAAUAGUUCCUAGGCGUAUUAAAUGUCCUAUGGCUGCCAAAACAAAUUACCACAAAUUUAGUGUCUUAAAACACACAUUUGAUAACUUACAGUUUUGUAGGUCAGAAGUCUAAAAUGGGUCUCACUAGGCUAAAACCAAGGUGUCUGCAGGGCUGCACUUCUUUCUAGAGGCUCUAAGGGGGAAUCUGUUUCCUUAUCCUUUCUGGCUUCUACAGAUCCACUGUAUUUUAUGGUUCAUAGCACUUCACUUCCAUCUUCAGAGCAAGCAAUGGUGGACUGAGUCUUUCUCAUUCUGCAGGACUGACCUUGCCCCUUCUCAAAUCUCCUUCUCUGACUCUCAUUUUUCUGCCUCCCUCUUCCACUCUUAAGUAACCUCUUUAAAGACCCUUACAUUUGGCCCACGUCAAUAAUCCAGGAUGAUCUUCCUAUUUUAAAGUUACCUCAUUAGCCAUUUUAAUUCCCUUUUGUCACAUAACCUAACAUAUUCAUAGAUUCUGGGGACUAGGAAGCAGACAUUUGUAGGGAGCCAUUAUUCUGCUGACCAUACUAUAGCUUUAUCUCCAACUAUUUCAGAACUUCCAUCCUAAUAAUAAAAUUAACUAUCAGCCCUUUCUAAAACUUAUAGUUUCUUACUCAUAUAGCUCUUCGCUACUCUACUGAGAUACUUUAGAAGGCUCCAGCAUAUGGAGAUUGAAGACUUAGGUUCAAGUUCUGAAUCUUUCACUUUGUAGCUUGAUAACGCUGGAAAAGUCAUUUAACUUUUCUAAGGCUUGACUACUCCUUCAUCUAUAAAAUGGGAAUAACUGACUUAUCUUGCAGAGCUGUAAUAAGGAUCAUUAUGUAUUAUGAACAAGCUUUAUAAACUGAAACAAUUUUUUAAAGUAAAGGAUGAUUAAUUGCUCUACUGGCCCAAAUCAUGGUUUGGCUUAAACAUAAAUUCCCAUGAAGUAAUCCAGCAACCCACCUAGAAUCAAUUCAUCUCCUUUUCCCUUCAUUGUUCCUACAUCUUUUAUGGCACAAACACAUUUUGUACCUGUGUGUAUACACCUCUUAUCCCAUUCCUGACUAUUAAAAUCCCAAGGGAAGAGCCCUCACCUGAUUUUGUCUCAUAUCUCAUGGUGUAUAUCACAAUGUUUUCUACAUAGGUGUUCAUUAAACAUUAUUUUAAAAAGUGAUUUUAAAUUAACCCGCAAAGGGCAUUCAAUUAAGAUGCCCUCACGGAAUAAUAGUAGAGCAAUUGUUAAAUAAUAUUAUUGUAAAAUAUAACCUUCUACUGAGGAAACGGAAUAUUCUAAGUUAAAACUCUGGCCCCUGUAUAUGGAAAAACAAAUGUUGUGAUGCAGCCACGGGACUAAGUUUCUGAGCUUAGUUGUUACACUGCAGAAUCCCUUUAGUACUCCGAGGAGCUUUUAAAACACCAAGAAAGAAUCUGUGGGUAGUGCCCAAGCUUUGGUAUGUGCUGCCAGGGAUGAGAAACACCAAGCACUCCUUUAGAUUCUGCUCUCGAAGUUCCCACUGCACUACAGUAGGGAAACCAUUUUGAAAUAGCCUUUUAAUUUGGAGUGUUAUACAGCCUCAGGACUUGCUUACAGGAGAAAGAAACUUACUUCUUCCUGUCAAAAAGCUUUCCCGGUAUCUUGCAUAAGUACUGGCAAUUAACAUGAGAAAAAAUAUGAAGGACUAAUAAAUACAUAGAAAAAUGUUCUGGUCAUGUGCAAUGGCUCAUGCCUGUAACCCCAGCACUUUGGGAGGCCAAGGUGGGCAGAUCACUUGAGGCCAGGAGUUUGAGACCAGCCUGGCCAACAUGGCGAAACCCUGUCUCUACUAAAAAUACAAAACUUAGCCAGGCGAGGUGGCACAUGCCUGUAGUCCCAGAUACUCGGGAUGCUGAGGCACAAGAAUCACUUGAGCCCGGGAGGCAGAGGCUGCAGUGAACAGAGAUCACGCCACUGCACUGCAGCCUGGGCAACAGAGCAAGACUCUGUCUAAAACAAAACAAAACAAAACCAAAAAAACCCAGAAGAAUGUUUUAGUAUAUCAAAUGAUCAAAGAAAUAGAAAUAAACACAAGAGUACUAUAAAAAUAGGCAAUGAUAUUUUAAAAUAAUAUUGUAGGGUCAGUGAGGACAUAUAAGUCUUUAAAAUGUUUACCACGAUUUGAGUAUGUCCCCCAAAAGCCUGUGUCGGAAAUUUAAUCCCCAAUGCAACAGUGUUGGGAGCUGCAGCCUAAUGGGAGGUAUUCACGUUCCACCCUCAGUAAUGGAUUAAUGUGUUUUAUUAAAAAGCCUGAGGCUACAAAUUUGAUCCCUUGCUUGCUCUGGCCGUCUCCUGUCCUUCCUCCUUCCACCUUGGGAUGACACAAUAAGAAGGCCCUCACCAGAUGCUGGUGCCAUGCUCUUGGACGUCUCAGCUCCUAUAACUAUGAACCAAUAAAUUUCUGUUCAUUAUAAAUUACCCAGU
rnacentral:lncRNA from 10 species